rnacentral:lncRNA from 1 species
CAUUUUGGAAGAAAGACAUUAUCUAAGAUUUCUUGACCUGCAAGGAAAUUGGAUUUAAAUGAGAUAGAGUCACAUCAGCCUUACUCACUCUUCCAACACCACCAAACUCUAAUGGCAAGAUAAGAAUCAAGAGGAUCAGCAGUGACUUGGAAGGCAACAGAUGGCCUUGAAAUUACCAGGGAGUUCUGGUCAAGAGGGCGGCAUAGAGAGAGCUAAAGUCCAGAUCUCCAGAAACCCGUUCCUUACCGAUCUCAAACUGUAUGCUCCUAGGACAACGAAAUUCAAAAUGAACAACAGGAUAGAUCUAGAGAACCCUCCUCCUGGACCUGGAUCAAAAGUUACAGCCCCCCCAAAAGCCAGAACCUGAUAUCACUCGGAUCUAAGGGAUAGGCAGAAGGAAGGUCCCAGGACCCAUUCCCCCCAACCCAGAGCACUGAGUCUGAGGUAGAAGCAGGAACCUAAGAGCCAGCAAAAGGACCCCAGGGCCAGCUAUUCUGAAGGCUGCACCCUGAAAACAACCUGAGCCAGUCGCAGGGGCACCCAGACAGCAGGGAAACAGAGAGAGACAGAGGGGAGCCUGUAGCACCCUGGCUAGAUCCUUCAGUCCGAGUGUCAGGGAAGGUCCCUGCUUUAAGACACACUCAAUCCAACCCAAAUGAAGUUAAUCCUAUCAGGAGCCCUCAUAGCUCCUGGAAGCCUCGGCCCCUCCCCCCUCAGAGUGCAGGCCUCUCUGGCCCACAAAGGCUCUGGCCCACAAAUACCUCGGAGACAGUGCAAAGCCAGGCUCAGAGUGAGGGAGUAAGGCAAUGAAGAAGCAUCAGGAGGGAACUAAGAGCAGUAACACCCACAACCAGACAAUUUGCCGGGGGCUAAAGCCUCUGAACACCAGAAAGAGAUAAGAAAAGCUAG